GGCUGGUCCAAGGGCAGUGGUGUUUACAGCUAACCGAUCACAGGCAGUUACAGAUUUCUUUGUUCUUUUUCCACUCCCACUGCUUCAUUUGAACAAACAAAC
ensembl:misc_RNA Y_RNA Y RNA